rnacentral:rRNA from 12 species
CUGAAGAGUUUGAUCAUGGCUCAGAUUGAACGCUGGCGGCAGGCUUAACACAUGCAAGUCGAACGAGAAGCUACCUUCGGGUAGUGGAAAGUGGCAGACGGGUGAGUAACGCGUGGGAAUAUACCUAGAGGUACGGAACAACGCCGGGAAACUGGUGCUAAUACCGUAUGUGCCCUUCGGGGGAAAGAUUUAUCGCCAAUAGAUCGGCCCGCGUUAGAUUAGCUAGUUGGUGAGGUAAAAGCUUACCAAGGCUACGAUCUAUAGCUGGUCUGAGAGGAUGAUCAGCCACACUGGGACUGAGACACGGCCCAGACUCCUACGGG